UACGAGUGCCUCAAGCGUUAUCCGGAAUUACUGGGCGUAAAGGGUGUGUAGGUGGUUAUGUUAGUCUCCUGUAAAAGUCUUCGGCUUAACCGGGGGAGCGCGGGGGAAACGGCAUAACUAGAGGAUAGGAGGGGUGCAUGGAACUCAUGGUGUAGGGGUGAAAUCCGUUGAUAUCAUGGGGAACACCAAAAGCGAAGGCAAUGCACUGGCCUACUCCUGACACUGAAACACGAAAGCGUAGGUAGCGAAUGGG
rnacentral:ncRNA from 2 species